AUUCAGCUGACAAGUCCCAAACAAGCCGAAACGCACGUUCUGGAU
rnacentral:hammerhead_ribozyme from 1 species